AAGACAGUAUAAUUAUUCUCUAGUUACCUUUGCAUGCUGUCAGCAAAAUGUAAAUGCUGUUUUUGUUUUUAUUUGAGAAAUGAUUUGAUUUGGGUGCAGUGAAUACAUCUUUCGUAUAUAUUUCUUUACAUUAAAAGCGAUUAUCUAACGUAGUUUUAUUAGGGUUAAUUCUCUUGUUUUUGUACAUAAUAAAAAAUAAAUGUUCUUAUUAGUCAUCAAUAUGUAUUUCAAUAUCAUCGAGAGAUUUUUAGAAGAAAAAAAGAAAAUGGUUGUCAUCACUUUCACAGCUAAUGCCCCUUUAAAAUAAGAUGUAAGUGCACAGGUAUCUGAAUUUUAAUCUAAUUAGAAAAAAAAAGUGAAGAAAAAAUAUCUAUAUCUAAAUAAAUGGAGAGAGAGAGAGAGAGAGAGAGAGAGAGAGAGAGAGAGAGAGAGAGAGAUUUCUUUUCUUUUCUUUAUUUACAUGUAUAUCUGAACAUUGAUUACAAUUCAGAUACUGGGUUUGUGAGUUGAAAUUAAUCAAAUGAGAGUGGUAAAAAUUCACCUUUAUAUCGUAUAAUUUAUCCAGGUACGUUAUUCUGGUUUGUGGAAUGCUAAUUGAUACUAAGUUAGAAUAAUCUAAGCUGUAUACCAAAGUAGCUCUUCAUGGGGCUUUACGGCUCUAUGCAUCGCAAAUAGAGAUCGGGUUCAAUGCGUCGGGUGUGGGAUUCACUCAAUAUUAUAUGCUGAGCGGGAAAGUUGAUAUCAACAGACGCCAUGAUGUUAUACCGGUAAACAUCUUGAACAUGAAUCGAGAACAGGAGUUGAUGCAGAUAUUCUGAGGAGAAUCUUCCAAUCAUUGAAAUAUAUUUCAUGAUAGUCGUGAAGAUACAGAAGUUGUGAUGGUGUGUUGAUAGGCUGUCUUCAACUUGCCAUAUCUGAGAGUUCCAACAUGCAGGCCUGGAUUAAUGUUUUAUCACAACAAAUGGAUGGGACAGUAGAGUUGUUGCGGACAAUAUGUGACCAAGUACUGAACAAGUGGAAGAUUAGAAGAAGGUCCAGAAUUCAGUCAUGUUUUUGAUUCUAAGGCGCAGACAGCAUGGAGAUAGUCCUAUUAUUCUCCCAUUCAUCUAUGAUGGAGAAACUUGUGUAAAUGUUUACAGUGUUCUCCCUAAUAAGUGCCCACAAUUCUGUAUUAAUUUAUCAGAAUAUAAAGUCCUUCACAGUACUGACUUUAAAAUUCAUGUAGAUUGUCUCCAGAUUUUUCUGAGGAAAAGUGCAUAGUUUACAUGUGUGAAUUUUGAAUAUAUUUCAUUCUUGUCUGCAAAUGUUGCUAAAAACUGUUAUUGAUGCACAAUGCACAUAGUCAUGUUAUGCAAAUGAUGGACCUCCUUUUUAAUUACAUGUCCUUAAGAUCAUGUCAACUCCUUUGUCUUAAUUGUAUAUACAAUUCUAGCAUGUAUAGCAUCAUUUGUAUAGCACUUGCUAGUUUAAUAAGGAUUUUAUUUUUUAAAAACUUUCAUUUGACAUGAUUGAUCUAAAACGGCCAAAAUUCACAAAUCUAUUUAAAUCACAACCUGACCUUAGGCCAGAAAAGUGCCACAGUGGGUUGAUAUUUUUCUCUUGGAUCUUGAAAGAAAUUCUUUAUGAAGCAGUUUCCAAAUAAAAUGUACUCUCAUGGCCAGGGUGGGACUUCACCGAGAACUUUUUAACAUUGCACAAUGCAAUAUUUGUGGAUUAGAAGCUGUUGCAGUUUCUUUAAGUUUUCUCUCACAUCUUGUUAUAAUUAUAUUUUAUAUUUUUGGUCGGGUUACACAAUGUGCAAACAGUUUAUAAAAUGCUGAAUGACUGGUGGGCAAGCGACAAUAGCGUCCCUGUAAUAGUACCUACUUUGUGUAAUCAACUCCUUUCACACCUCUCACUUGAUGUUCCUCAAACUUUGUACAGUUGUUAGGGAUACAUUGAAGAUGUGCGUGUACCUUUUUGAAAGUGAUCAGACAUUUUUUGAAAAAUUUACAUGUAGUUAAACUUCGUCAUUUUUUAAGCAUUUCUUUAAUCGACAGUAUCUAUUUUGUGUAAUCAACUCCUCGUAUACCUCUAAUUUGACAUUCCUCAGACUGUGUACAGUUGUUAUGAAUACAUUGAAGAUGUGCAUAUGUGUUUUUGAAAGUGAUCAGACAUUUUUAAAAAAAAAUGUACAUGUAGUUGAACUUAAGUCAUUUUAAAGCAUUUCUUGAAUAGAUGGUAACUAUUUUGUGUAAUCAAAUCCUCAUGCACCUCUAACUUGACAUUCCUUAAACUUUGUACAGUUGUUAUGAACACAUUGAAGAUGUGCAUGCGUCUUUUUGAAAAUGACUAGACUUCUUUUUUUUUAGAU